rnacentral:lncRNA from 1 species
GCACUGAACUAAGGCAACAGCUCUAACUGUAAGCUGGUGCUGGGCUCCUGUCCUGGACCCGCCUGACUGCAGCUCACACAGAGGCACAGAAGGUCGGUCUUAGCUUCUCUUCUCUUUGAUGAGGUCUUCAGUCCGGAGGAGUGUCAGAGUGCUGGGGUCUUUGGAAAACACAGGAAGGUUCUAAACAGGCAGACCGUGCUGGACAUGUCUAAGCUUUCUUCUGAUCGAAACCGGCAACCCUCCUCCACCCCAAGCACCACCAGAUCCAUGCCAGUUAAGGCCUCCUAUCUCCUGCCCUCCAGCUCUCCACCACCACCAGGUCUAGACCCCGGGGGGAUCUUCUGAUCCAGCGGCCUCUCCUCUUGCGUUUUCCCCCCUUUUCGGAUGUGGUCUUCACGACGGGGUCUAGGACGCCAAUGCACAUUCAAACUUUGUACUUAAUAAAUAUUUCUCAUUCAGUUCG